GAUGAACGCUAGCGGCAGGCCUAACACAUGCAAGUCGAGGGGCAGCACAGAAACAGCUAUGUUUUGGUGGCGACCGGCGGACGGGUGCGUAACGCGUAUGCAACCUACCUUUAACAGGGGGAUAACGGAGAGAAAUUUCCACUAAUACCCCAUAACAUCGAUCAAGGCAUCUUGAUUGGUUGAAAACUCCGGUGGUUAAAGAUGGGCAUGCGUUGUAUUAGGUAGUUGGUGAGGUAAUGGCUCACCAAGCCUACGAUACAUAGGGGACUGAGAGGUUAGCCCCCCACACUUGUACUGAGACACGGACCAGACUCCUACGGGAGGCAGCAGUGAGGAAUAUUGGUCAAUGGGGGCAACCCUGAACCAGCCAUGCCGCGUGCAGGAAGACGGCUCUAUGAGUUGUAAACUGCUUUUAAACAGGGAUAAAGCACAGUAUGUAUACUGUGUUGAAGGUACUGUAAGAAUAAGGAUCGGCUAACUCCGUGCCAGCCGCCGCAGUAA
rnacentral:rRNA from 1 species